rnacentral:rRNA from 1 species
ACUCCUACGGGAGGCAGCAGUGGGGAAUAUUGCACAAUGGGCGAAAGCCUGAUGCAGCCAUGCCGCGUGUGUGAAGAAGGCCGUUCGGGUUGUAAAGCACUUUCAGCGAGGAGGAAAGGUUGACGGUUAACUACCCGUCAGCUGUGACGUUACUCGCAGAAGAAGCACCGGCUAACUCCGUGCCAGCAGCCGCGGUAAUACGGAGGUGCGAGCGUUAAUCGGAAUUACGUGGCGUAAAGCGCAUGCAGGCGGCCAAGUCAGUCAGAUGUGAAACGCCCGGGCUUAACCUGGAAUUGCAUUUGAAACUGCUUGGCUAGAGUCCUUGAGAGGGGGUAGAAUUUCAGGUGUAGCGGUGAAAUGCGUAGAGAUCUGAAGGAAUACCAGUGGCGAAGGCGGCCCCUGGCAAGAGACUGACGCUCAGAUGCGAAAGCGUGGGAGCAAACAGGAUUAGAUACCCCGUGUAGGAUAGCG